GUGCAUGCUGGGCUGUAAUUUAUGAAGCAGAGCCCAGGAAACAACCAAUCCCUUAGCUCCUCCUAACAAGUUCAACUAGCUAUGAAAAGCUGGAAGUGCUGUACAGAACAAUGAAGAGGAGCUAUCCCACAUAUUAGUCUGCUUAUCUAGGAUUGCUUUCUGUGGAGAGAGAGGGAAGCAUNN
rfam:Amazona aestiva scaffold_330, whole genome shotgun sequence.